rnacentral:rRNA from 1 species
GAUGAACGCUGGCGGCGUGCUUAACACAUGCAAGUCGAACGGAAAGGCCCAAGCUUGCUUGGGUACUCGAGUGGCGAACGGGUGAGUAACACGUGGGUGAUCUGCCCUGCACUUCGGGAUAAGCCUGGGAAACUGGGUCUAAUACCGGAUAGGACGAUGGUUUGGAUGCCAUUGUGGAAAGUUUUUUCGGUGUGGGAUGAGCUCGCGGCCUAUCAGCUUGUUGGUGGGGUAAUGGCCUACCAAGGCGUCGACGGGUAGCCGGCCUGAGAGGGUGUACGGCCACAUUGGGACUGAGAUAAGGCCCAGACGCCUACGGGAGGCAGCAGUGGGGAAGAUUGAACAAUGGGCGCAAGCCUGAUGCAGCGACGCCGCGUGGGGAUGACGGCCUUCGGGUUGUAAACUCCUUUCGCUAGGGACGAAGCGUUUUUGUGACGGUACCUGGAGAAGAAGCACCGGCUAACUACGUG